CAUUAGCAUCUGUACUAGGGGUGCAACGGAUCAAAAAACUCACGGUUCGGAUCGUUCCUCGGAUCAGAGUCACGGAUCGGAUCAUUUUUCGGAUCAGCAAAAAAAAAAUAGCGUUUGUGAUUGCUUUAGCCCGGUCUGAUUGUGGAGGAAGGGGCUGCUUAAAUGCCGCGGUGAUGAGCGGUUGUUGAGCCGCUUUCGGUUUCACUCCUGUCAGUGAAACACCGGGGUGAUGUCGCUGUAAAUGCGUGGCCAUGCUCGAUGUGUUUUUCUUUAUGUUAGCAAUCGCUAUGUCAGCUACGUGUUACGUCUGUGUGGUAACCUAGGCGACAGGUUUGUGUGGCAGCGCGAGUAUAUGGAAACAGACGUAACACUGGAGGCAGCAGUUAUCGUUACAGUAGUCACCGAAGUCUAGCCUACUUUUAUUUUCCAUGCCCACUGUUCUUCAUGUUGUACGCUGAGGACAAUAAAUCACAACGAGCCAUAGGACUGUUUGCUUAUUGAAAAGGGAACUGUUGCAGACUUUUACCCAGAGCGUGUUAAGUAGCUCUGUCCCUGGAACUAGCAGGAAUGGUUACGGCUGUGUGUGGACUGAACAUGCGCACAAUUUUUUUUUUUCAUAAAUCAAUCCGCGGAUCAUGCGUGUGCCGAACCGAAAUAGAUGAUCCGAACGGAUCACGGAUCAAUGAUGAUCCGUUGCACCCCUAAUCUGUACCGUAGCGGCCCGUG